UACGGGGGGGGCAAGCGUUGUUCGGAAUUACUGGGCGUAAAGGGCUCGUAGGUGGCCAACUAAGUCAGACGUGAAAUCCCUCAGCUUAACUGGGGAACUGCGUCUGAUACUGGAUGGCUUGAGUUUGGGAGAGGGAUGCGGAAUUCCAGGUGUAGCGGUGAAAUGCGUAGAUAUCUGGAGGAACACCGGUGGUGUAGACGGCUUUCUGGACCGUAACUGACGCUGAGACACGAAAGCGUGGGUAGCAAACAGG
rnacentral:rRNA from 1 species